ensembl:snRNA U2 U2 spliceosomal RNA
AUCACUUCUCAGCCUUUUGGCUAAGAUUAAGUGUAGCAUCUGUUCUUAUCAGUUUAAUAUCUGAUAUAUCCUCUAUCUGAGGAUGAUAUGUUAAAUGGAUUUUUGGAGUGGGGAGUUGGAAUAGGAGCUUGCUCUGUCUACUCCACACAUUGAUUUGGUAUUGUAGUACUUCCAGGAGUGGUGCCCCCCCC